CCUACGGGGGGCUGCAGUGAGGAAUAUUGGUCAAUGGACGCAAGUCUGAACCAGCCAUGCCGCGUGCAGGAAGACGGCUCUAUGAGUUGUAAACUGCUUUUGUACGAGGGUAAACGCAGAUACGCGUAUCUGUCUGAAAGUAUCGUACGAAUAAGGAUCGGCUAACUCCGUGCCAGCAGCCGCGGUAAUACGGAGGAUUCAAGCGUUAUCCGGAUUUAUUGGGUUUAAAGGGUGCGUAGGCGGUCGGAUAAGUUAGAGGUGAAAUCCCGAGGCUCAACUUCGGAAUUGCCUCUGAUACGGUGCGGUUAGAGGUUAGUGGAGGUAGGCGGAAUGUGUGGGGUAGGGGUGAAAGGCUUAGAGAGCAUACAGAACACCGAGUGCGAAGGCAGCUUACCAAGCUACUUCUGACGUUGAGGCACGAAAGCGUGGGGAGCAAACAGGAGGAGAGACCCGGGUAGUC
rnacentral:rRNA from 1 species